GACGAACGCUGGCGGCGUGCCUAAUACAUGCAAGUAGAACGCUGAAGAGAGGAGCUUACUCUUCUUGGAUGAGCUGCGAACGGGUGAGUAACGCGUAGGUAACCUGCCUUGUAGCGGGGGAUAACUAUUGGAAACGAUAGCUAAUACCGCAUAACAAUGGAUGACACAUGUCAUUUAUUUGAAAGGGGCAAUUGCUCCACUACAAGAUGGACCUGCGUUGUAUUAGCUAGUAGGUGAGGUAAUGGCUCACCUAGGCGACGAUACAUAGCCGACCUGAGAGGGUGAUCGGCCACACUGGGACUGAGACACGGCCCAGACUCCUACGGGAGGCAGCAGUAGGGAAUCUUCGGCAAUGGGGGCAACCCUGACCGAGCAACGCCGCGUGAGUGAAGAAGGUUUUCGGAUCGUAAAGCUCUGUUGUAAGUCAAGAACGGGUGUGAGAGUGGAAAGUUCACACUGUGACGGUAGCUUACCAGAAAGGGACGGCUAACUACGUG
rnacentral:rRNA from 1 species